CCUACGGGUGGCAGCAGUGGGGAAUAUUGGGCAAUGGGCGCAAGCCUGACCCAGCAACGCCGCGUGAAGGAAUAAGGCUUUCGGGUUGUAAACUUCUUGUCACAGGGGCGAAGCUAGUGACGAUACCAGAGCAAUAAGCCACGGCUUACUACGUGCCAGCAGCCGCGGUAAUAAGUAGGUGGUAAGCGUUAUUCGGAUUUACUGGGUGUAAAGGGUGGGUAGGCGGGGGCGCAAGUCAGAUGUGAAAAACACGGGCUCAACCUGUGGCCUGCAGUUGAAACUGUGUUUCUUGAGUACUGGAGAGGCAGACGGAAUUCCUAGUGUAGCGGUGAAAUGCGUAGAUAUUAGGAGGAACACCAGUGGCGAAGGCGGGUUGCUGGACAGCAACUGACGCUGAGGCGCGAAGGCGUGGGGAGCAAACAGGAUUAGAUACCCCUGUAGUC
rnacentral:rRNA from 1 species